rnacentral:sRNA from 1 species
GAAUGAAUACUAAAUCUUGGGUCACUAAAGAAAGCUUCUGGGCUAUUUAGGUCCCCUCUGUUGCCUCUCUGACUGUCACUUCAUCACCAGAAUGGGGAACUGCACCCAUUGGAACAAAUGCAAAAUGUCUUUAGCCCUGUAAAUUGGUAUUUUAGGAAGGAAAUCAGAAGUAAGCAGUUCACCUGUGAUAUCACCUCUAGAAAUGACCGAGCCAUUUUCCUUUUCAUUCUUCACCUUCUGUUCUCAGGGAACACAGACUCCUGAGAAGCCACACCUUAAAAUUGAGGGCAGAAGCAUGUGAGACCAUAACACUGUCAUCACCUCCAGGAUCUCUGGUGUUACCCACAUUUACUUCUUCAAUAACCACACCCACUGCCCCCCCACCCUCUCUCCUGUCCCAGAUUUGCUUUAGCGCCAACAUGCAAAGGGAGAAUUUGAGCAAAAAGACUUCAAGGCAUCUUGCAGAGGUGGUAGGCCUCUAUAUAAGACUUUAAACUCCUACAGAUAUGGAUUUGGAUCAGCAUGAUCUAAUUAUUCCGGCUAUUGACUCCUCAUCAAUCUACAUGGUGGCCAUACAUUCUGGAUAUAGAUGUGCAGUUGACAAACACCUUUCCUUCUCACGGUAGCUUUGCAUCUAAAGUGACACUGAUUGUAAGUGGAGUGCAUGCAAAUCCCCUACCUGGUGGGUUGUGAGGAACUAGGGCUCCAAAUAAAAGUAGAGAUGACUUUGGACCACAAAUCCACCAACUUGCCAAGUAAGCUAGAAACUCUUAAGACGUUCCCUAAGGAAGGGGGCGCGGAGACUUGUGGGAAACGGAGUCUGGAAUUUGAUGGAUCGCCCCGGGCUCGCCCCGGGAACCAGUCUUUGGCAGCCCCGUCUGCGCAUGUGCAGUUCUUCCUCCAUGUUCCUUACUCCUGUCUCUGAUCAGCGUGGAGCCUCCGCGUCUACGCGUAACUCAGCGACCAGGUGCUGCACUAACGAUGUGCUCCGCAGCCAGGGUCACCCUGCUCCUGUGAGGAGGGGACGCCAAAAGCAGGAAUCUCGCCUGGGAGGUCCCCACCCUCUGAUAAAACACACACAGCUGCACCAAGGACGUCUGGGAAACAGGCAAGUCUGUAAGCGCUUGCUCUUGAAGCAAUUCCCGAUUCUUCUGCCCUGAAUAACUCAUCAUCUUGAGGUUGCCAAGAACCGUCGGUCAACGAAGGUGUGGGCCAGCUGUCACAGGACAGAGGUGAGCUGGGCUGAGGAUGGUGAGCUGGACUGAGGAUGGUGGGCAGGAGGCCGGCUGCGGGGGAGGAGGAACUCCCAGGUGAGGACCUGGUGCGCAUGACGGGGAAGAUACUAUCGCCACUCCUCUCGGAAACUCAUCCCAUGCCCCUAAUUCUUCAACCCCUCUUCCUAGAUUCUGCAGAGCCCUCAAACCCCACCCAUCUCCACACCUGGAAUUUAGGGACAUGCUACCCACUACCUACUCUUGACUUUAUAGGAGUACGGGGAAGCUUUUCAGGGGUUAUGUAAUUGUUCCUCAUUUUAAAAGUGAAAAAUAUUAACACAGUGCUCAAGUGAAUGGAUCUGGGGCCGGACUGCCUGGGUUCAAAGCACAGCUCCACCACAUUGCUCAGUCUUCCCCUCGCUUUCCUCUUCUAUGAAAUGGAAGUCAUAAUAGUAGCUAUGCUUGGCUUUAUUUUAAAGAUUAAAUGAAGGAAGACAUACAAAGUACUUAGAACAAGUCCUGUUGUAUAGUAACUACAAGUAUUGUCAGUAUCUUUUUUUUCUUUUUUUUUGAGAUGGAGUCUCUCAGUGUUGCCCAGGCAACACUAUGAAGGAGAGAAACACUAUGAAUCUAAUGAAUUUGGAAAAUUUAGCAAGAAAUUAAACUUUACCCAACAUCAAAGAAUGUACACAGGAGAAAAACCUGAUGAGUGUAAAGAAAAUUAGAAAGCCCUGAAGAAGUUAUACCAUACUCAAAAUGAGAGAACUCAAGCAGGAGAGAAAAUCUAUGAUUGUAAGAAAUGUGGGAAAUUCUUUCAUGAAAAAGCAUGCCUUACUCAACAUCAGAGAACCCACACAACAGGAAAACCCAGCAAGUGUAAUGAUAGUGAAAGAGUCUCAAAGAAGGAAUCUUGCCUCACUCCCAGUCAGAGAAUUAAAACAAGAUUAAAACAAGAGAGAAAAACUGUAAAGGUAAUAAAUGUGAGAAACCUUUCUUUGAGAAGUUGAAACACACUCAACAUCAGAGAAGGCACUUGGGGAAAAAAAAUAAUGGGUGUAAUGAAAGUGGGGUUGCCUCAAGUAGGAAGUCACAACUUACACAAAGCCAGAGAGCUCACAAAAAAGAGAAGACCUAUGACUGUAAUAAAUGUGGAGAAAGCUUCCAUAAGAAAACAGAUCUCAGACAGCAUCAGAGCACACACACAGGGAAAAAAAACCCUAUGAAUGUAAUGAAUGUGAAAAAUCCUUCGUUGUGAAGUCCAACUACACUGAACAUCAGAGAACUCACACAGGAGAAAAACCAUAUGAAUGUAAUGAAUGUGGAAAGUCCUUCUGCCAGAAAUCAGCCCUCACAGUACAUCGGAGAACUCACACGGGAGAGAAACCAUAUAAACGUAAUGAAUGUGGGAAAACCUUCUGUGUGAAAUCAAACCUUACUCAACAUCGAAGGACUCACACACUGUGAGAAACCCUAUAAAUGUAAUGAGUGCUGGAGAUCUUACUGUGUGAAAUCCAACCUUGUCGUGCAUCAGAGAACUCAUACAGGAGAAAAACCCUACAGAUGUCCUGAGUGUGGGAAAACCUUCUAUGAAAAGUCAGCCCUCACAAAACAUGAGCGAAUUCACACAGGGGAAAAACUCUAUGGAUGUAAUGAAUGUAGAAAAACCUUCAGCCAGAGGUCAGCCCUCACCAAACAUCAAAGGAAAACACACAAGAAGAAAACUCCCAUCAACACCCUCCAUGUGCAGAAACCUGCAUCUUCAAGCCAAAUUUGUUGAACAUCAGCAAACUCACAGGGCAGAAACACUAAGGUGUUAAUACCUGUAGGAAAGUAUUUGUUUAUAGGUUAUAACAAAUAGGAAUUAGAAAAUUAACAUAGGAGUGAAACCACAUGAAUGCUUUGAACAUGUGAAAGCUUUCAGCAAGUAUUCAGAGCUGUGGAGGAAAAAUUAAUUUUAAGGUAUGUGAAUGCAAAAUGUUCUUGUGCAUAAAAUGUUUAAGUAGAAGUCAUCUUUCAGAUGUAAUAUCAGAGUAAUUAAAGAAAAGAUUAGAAAAUGACUUGUUCUUAAUAGAAUGUGAAACAUGAUCCUUUUGUAAAACUAUGAAUUAUUUAAAUCAUUGACACAAUAGCGUUAAAUAUGUGUGAAGAUUUCCUGAAGUAUAUUGGGCUAUAUAUAGUUACAUAGGAUACGAGUGUGCUGUAUAACAUAAAUUAUGUAUAUGUUAGAUUUACACAUGGGAACACAACAAUACAAUAUAUUUUAUAAGUGAAAAUUGAACGGUCACAUAACCUGUGGCCCAACAAUUCCAAUUCUAGAUACAUACCAUAAAACAGUAAUUCUCAACUGGGCUUCCUAAAGUGUGUUUGGAAAUAUGUUGUUUUGAUUGUCACAUCAUUGACAUGCUACAAGCUCUGGGUAGAUGGGAGGCCAGAGAUGCUAAGUUCCCUACAAUGUAUCAGUGAAAGGACAGGAAAUAGUCUUAUCCAGAAUACCGGUAGUUUCACCACACAAAAAAAUUGCCUUACAGAAACUUGCACAUCUGCACCCACAAAUUUGUACAAGAAUGUUCACUGCAAUAUUGCAAUAGUUUUUGUAAAAAAAAAAAAUUUAAAGAAAAUAUCCAAAUGUUGAUUAACAAUAAACAAAUUAAUAAAUGUUGGCAUAGUCAUA